GAUGAACGCUGGCGGCGUGCCUAAUACAUGCAUGUCGAGCGAACAGACGAGGAGCUUGCUCCUCUGACGUUAGCGGCGGACGGGUGAGUAACACGUGGAUAACCUACCUAUAAGACUUGGAUAACUUCGGGAAACCGGAGCUAAUACCGGAUAAUAUAUUGAACCGCAUGGUUCAAUAGUGAAAGACGGUUUUGCUGUCACUUAUAGAUGGAUCCGCGCCGCAUUAGCUAGUUGGUAAGGUAACGGCUUACCAAGGCGACGAUGCGUAGCCGACCUGAGAGGGUGAUCGGCCACACUGGAACUGAGACACGGUCCAGACUCCUACGGGAGGCAGCAGUAGGGAAUCUUCCGCAAUGGGCGAAAGCCUGACGGAGCAACGCCGCGUGAGUGAUGAAGGUCUUCGGAUCGUAAAACUCUGUUAUUAGGGAAGAACAAAUGUGUAAGUAACUAUGCACGUCUUGACGGUACCUAAUCAGAAAGCCACGGCUAACUACGUG
rnacentral:rRNA from 1 species